rnacentral:rRNA from 1 species
GUCGAGGGAGAGGUUACCUUCGGGUAACCAAAACCGGCGCACGGGUGCGUAACGCGUAUACAAUCUGCCUUUCACAUAGGGAUAGCCCGAAGAAAUUUGGAUUAAUACCUAAUGGUAUAUAAGAGCGGCAUCGUUUUUAUAUUAAAGCUACGGUGGUGAAAGAUGAGUAUGCGUUCUAUUAGCUAGUUGGAGAGGUAACGGCUCCCCAAGGCGACGAUAGAUAGGGGUUCUGAGAGGGAUGUCCCCCACACUGGUACUGAGAUACGGACCAGACUCCUACGGGAGGCAGCAGUGAGGAAUAUUGGACAAUGGUCGGAAGACUGAUCCAGCCAUGCCGCGUGCAGGAUGAAGGUCCUAUGGAUUGUAAACUGCUUUUGUAAGGGAAGAAUAAGGAGUACGUGUACUUUGAUGACGGUACCUUACGAAUAAGCAUCGGCUAACUCCGUGCCAGCAGCCGCGGUAAUACGGAGGAUGCGAGCGUUAUCCGGAAUCAUUGGGUUUAAAGGGUCCGUAGGCGGGCUGAUAAGUCAGAGGUGA